ACGGCUCAGUAACACGUAGCUAACCUGCCCUCACGGUCGCGAUAUCCUCGGGAAACUGAGGUCAACCGCGGAUAGGGGAUGAUUUCUGGAAUGAUUUAUCCCUCAAACUUCGUGAGGAUGGGGCUGCGGCUGAUUAGGUAGUUGGCGGGGUAAAAGCCCACCAAGCCAAUGAUCAGUAAGGGUUCUUAGCGGAAGAGCCCUGAGAGGGAAUCUGAGACACUAUUCCCAGCCCUACGGGGUGCAGCAGUCGGGAGAAUUCUGCAAUGCGCGCAAGCGUGACAGAGCAAGCCAGAGUGCUUUCAUAUAAUUUGAAAGCUUUUGUGAGAUGUAAAAAGUCUCACGAAUAAGGACUGGGCAAGACUGGUGCCAGCCGCCGCGGUAAUACCAGCGGUCCAAGUGGCAGCCACUUUUAUUGGGUCUAAAACAUCCGUAGCUUGUCUCGUAAGUUUCUUGUGAAAUCUGGCAUCUUAAGUGUCGGGCGUGCAAGAAAUACUGCGAGGCUGGAGACCGGGAGACGUAAGGAGUACGGACGGGGUAGCGGUAAAAUGCGUUGAUCCUGUCUGGACUAACGAUAGCGAAGGCACCUUACGAGAACGGAUCUGACAGUGAGGGAUGAAGGCUAGGGGCGCAAAACGGAUUAGAUACCCGUGUAGUCCUAGCAGUAAACCCUGCACACUAAACAUCGG
rnacentral:rRNA from 1 species